rnacentral:rRNA from 1 species
AGAGUUUGAUCCUGGCUCAGGAUGAACGCUAGCUACAGGCUUAACACAUGCAAGUCGAGGGGCAGCAGGAUCUAGCAAUAGAUUGACUGGCGACCGGCGCACGGGUGAGUAACACGUAUCCAACCUGCCGAUAACUCGGGGAUAGCCUUUCGAAAGAAAGAUUAAUACCCGAUAGUAUAAUCAGACCGCAUGGUUUGAUUAUUAAAGAAUUUCGGUUAUCGAUGGGGAUGCGUUCCAUUAGGCAGUUGGUGAGGUAACGGCUCACCAAACCUUCGAUGGAUAGGGGUUCUGAGAGGAAGGUCCCCCACAUUGGAACUGAGACACGGUCCAAACUCCUACGGGAGGCAGCA